rnacentral:rRNA from 1 species
UGGGGAAUUUUGGACAAUGGGGGCAACCCUGAUCCAGCAACGCCGCGUGAGGGACGACGGCCUUCGGGUUGUAAACCUCUUUUAGUAGGGAAGAAGCGAAAGUGACGGUACCUGCAGAAAAAGCACCGGCUAACUACGUGCCAGCAGCCGCGGUAAUACGUAGGGUGCAAGCGUUAUCCGGAAUUAUUGGGCGUAAAGAGCUCGUAGGCGGUUUGUCGCGUCUGCUGUGAAAACUGGAGGCUCAACCUCCAGCCUGCAGUGGGUACGGGCAAACUAGAGUGCGGUAGGGGAGAUUGGAAUUCCUGGUGUAGCGGUGGAAUGCGCAGAUAUCAGGAGGAACACCGAUGGCGAAGGCAGAUCUCUGGGCCGUAACUGACGCUGAGGAGCGAAAGCAUGGGGAGCGAACAGGAUUAGAUACCCACGUAGUCCCUGAGCGGGCUGGCAAGGCGCAU